AGUCUAACCUCGCCGGCCGGAGCGGAGAGUCAGGCAGCUUUUGUGCCCUGGCGAACCCUCAGGCGUUGCGUUCUCCCUCCCACCCGCCCCCCGCAGCGCCCCGAGCCAUGUGAAGGAGCGUCAACCUGUCAAACUUGUCCCCCGGCGAGCAAGGUGACAGGAGGAGACAGAAUGAGGCGAGCUUGGGUUCUGUCUCGGCGGCGGCGCUCACAAACCCGGACUGCAGAGACUUGCUACAAAAGCAGUGUCUCACCGCUACAUACAAACAAGCGUGUGUAGCAGUGAGUCUGGGUCAAGUGAAGCCGCAGUUUGAGUCCCUGGAAGCCAACGGAACAUCGGCAAAGGGGCGCGUGACGGAGCCCUCGUCGUGGGUCGGUGCAGGAUCUUGGGUCUUGGUUGGUAAGGGUGUUAUUGACAGCGGGGGUUGUGAGGUGGCGGCCAGCCGAGGUUUGCCGUCCAGGCGUGCUGAAGUGGCGUUUUAUGGACGUCUGGGUACUCCGGCGGCCGAUACGGUGACGAGAGAGAGAGAGAGAGAGAGAG